rnacentral:tRNA from 1 species
GGCUUCAUGGUCUAGUGGUAUGAUUCCUGCUUCGGGAAAAACAAAACCUGGAGUCCCCGGUUCUCUAGAAUCGCCUUUGCAGGAGGCCCCGGGUUCGAAUCCCGGUGAAGCCC